GAUUUCGUGUCCGAGCGGUUAAGGAGUUUAUCUUGAAAAUAAAUAUGCGUAUGCAUGCGCGGGUUCGAACCCCGCCGAAAUUA
rnacentral:tRNA from 1 species